rnacentral:rRNA from 1 species
GCCUACGGGGGGCAGCAGUGGGGAAUAUUGCGCAAUGGGCGAAAGCCUGACGCAGCGACGCCGCGUGGGGGAUGAAGGUCUUCGGAUCGUAAACCUCUGUCAGCAGGGAAGAACGGUCACUGUGCUAAUCAGCAGUGAAUUGACGGUACCUGCAAAGGAAGCACCGGCUAACUCCGUGCCAGCAGCCGCGGUAAUACGGAGGGUGCGAGCGUUAAUCGGAAUUACUGGGCGUAAAGCGCUCGUAGGCGGUAUGUCAGGUCAAGGGUGAAAUCCCCGCGCUCAACGUGGGAACUGCCUUUGAAACU